rnacentral:rRNA from 1 species
AGAGUUUGAUCCUGGCUCAGGAUGAACGCUGGCGGCGUGCCUAACACAUGCAAGUCGAACGGAUCAAUACUGAAACCUAGUGAUGUAUGGAUUAGUGGCGGACGGGUGAGUAACGCGUGGAUAACCUGCCGUAUACAGGGGGAUAACACUUAGAAAUAGGUGCUAAUACCGCAUAAGCGCACGGUUCCGCAUGGAACAGUGUGAAAAACUCCGGUGGUAUACGAUGGAUCCGCGUCUGAUUAGCCAGUUGGCGGGGUAACGGCCCACCAAAGCGACGAUCAGUAGCCGGCCUGAGAGGGUGAACGGCCACAUUGGGACUGAGACACGGCCCAAACUCCUACGGGAGGCAGCAGUGGGGAAUAUUGCACAAUGGGGGAAACCCUGAUGCAGCGACGCCGCGUGAGUGAAGAAGUAUUUCGGUACGUAAAGCUCUAUCAGCAGGGAAGAAAAAAAGUCCUUUGGACUUUGGACGGUACCUGACCAAGAAGCCCCGGCUAACUACGUGCCAGCAGCCGCGGUAAUACGUAGGGGGCAAGCGUUAUCCGGAUUUACUGGGUGUAAAGGGAGCGUAGACGGCAGCGCAAGUCUGGAGUGAAAUGCCGGGGCUCAACCCCGGAACUGCUUUGGAAACUGUGCAGCUCGAGUGCAGGAGAGGUAAGCGGAAUUCCUAGUGUAGCGGUGAAAUGCGUAGAUAUUAGGAGGAACACCAGUGGCGAAGGCGGCUUACUGGACUGUAACUGACGUUGAGGCUCGAAAGCGUGGGGAGCAAACAGGAUUAGAUACCCUGGUAGUACACGCCGUAAACGA